GAUGAACGCUAGCGGAAGGCUUAAUACAUGCAAGUCGAGCGGUAGGUGGCUUCGGCCAUUGAGAGCGGCGCACGGGUGAGUAACGCGUACAUGACCUGCCUGUCAGAAGGGGAUAGCCCUGGGAAACUGGGAUUAAUACCCUAUGGUAUUGAUAUUAUGAAUGAUAUCAAUUAAAGUUGAGGCGCUGACAGAUGGAUGUGCGUCUGAUUAGCUAGUUGGUAGGGUAACGGCCUACCAAGGCGACGAUCAGUAGGGGGCGUGAGAGCGUGGUCCCCCACACGGGUACUGAGACACGGACCCGGACUCCUACGGGAGGCAGCAGUAAGGAAUAUUGGUCAAUGGGGGCGAACCCUCGAUCCAGCCAUGCCGCGUGAGUGAAGAAGGCCCUCGGGUUGUAAAGCUCUUUUGUCCGGAAAGAAAAGCAUCUGGUUAAUACCCGGGUGUUCUGACGGUACCGGAAGAAUAAGCACCGGCUAACUUCGUGCCAGCAGCCGC
rnacentral:rRNA from 1 species